GUUUACAGCCAUGCUACCCUGAAUAAGCCCAUCUCCAUCUGAUCUCAGAAGCUAAGCAGGGUUGGGCCUGGUUAGUACUUGGAUGGGAGACCACUCAGGAAGACCAGGUGUUGUAGGUG
rnacentral:rRNA from 1 species